rnacentral:rRNA from 1 species
CUAUAGACUACACGGCAAAUAUUUUAGUUGGAUAACUGAGGUAAUUCUUGAGCUAAUACACGCUAUUUAAGCCACAUUAGUGGUGCGUUUAUUUGACUAAACCGUUACUCUGGUUGACUCAAAAUAUCCUUGCUGAUUUUAUAACUAAAACAUGCCGUAUGUGUAUCUGGUUUAUCAACUUUCGAUGGUAGGGUAUUGGCCUACCAUGGUUGUGACGGAUAACGGAGAAUUAGGGUUCGACUCCGGAGAGGGAGCCUGAGAAACGGCUACCACAUCCAAGGAAGGCAGCAGGCGCGAAAAUUACCCAAUUUUAGUUAAAAGAGGUAGUGACGAAAAAUGACAACCAAGUAUUAUUUUUAAUAUUUGGAUUGAAAAUCUCCAAGUUUAAAUAACUUGUUGGUAAAGGAAAGGGCAAGUCUGGUGCCAGCAGCCGCGGUAAUACCAGCUUUCCAAGUGCAUAAAAUGAUUGUUGUGGUUAAAAAGCUCGUAGUUGGAUUAUAAAGAUUGUAUAAUGAGCAUCUUGGAUGUUUUUUCAUUAUCGUCUUAUUUAUUUUAAUAUAUUAGUAAUAAUAUAUUAACUGUUACUUUGAAUAAAUCANAGGGUUUAAACCAGGCAUUAUUUGCUUGUAUGGUCUAGCAUGGAAUAACACUAUAGGAAAAGUUAGUGUGGUUUCACUAAUCUUUUUCAUGAUUAAUAGGAACAAACGG